rnacentral:lncRNA from 1 species
AUACAUUUCCUAAAAGCCAGCUACUGACUGGUACAUCCAAACAUUUAGUCUUGUCUUUACUACUGAACUGCAGCAGGCUUUCAAAGGUAAAGCGUGAGGUCGAAGGAAACAUUACCUGAGAAUAUCAUAACUGGCAAAGUCCCACUGGUAGAGACCAAGUGCUGAACUACAGACAAUGUAUUUGCCAUCAAAAUGAAGUCUUGGCUGCAGGCAGAUACUUCUAUCCUCAGAGACAGACAAUGUCUUUAAGCACUUACAGUUGAUUUCUCUCCCAAUUGGCCAAAUCUACAGAAAAAAGAAAAUGAGGAAAGAUGAGAGAUCACAUCACUACAGAAAAGCUUGUCCUUAAAAUGGUCUGCAUUUGUGAAGUCAGAUAGAAAGUGAAGUAUACUGGAAAGACCCCAGGUUUUAUAGCCAAGAAUCACAGGUUCAAGUCUUAAUUCUCCUGUGCAAUCUUGGGUA